CACGUAGGGCGCAAGCGUUGUCCGGAAUUAUUGGGCGUAAAGAGCUCGUAGGCGGACUGUUGCGUCCGCUGUGAAAAGCUGGGGCUUAACCCUGGCCUUGCAGUGGAUACGGGCAGACUAGAGGUAGGUAGGGGAGAAUGGAAUUCCCGGUGUAGAGGUGAAAUGCGCAGAUAUCGGGAGGAACACCGGUGGCGAAGGCGGUUCUCUGGGACGGUACUGACGCUGAGACGCGAAAGCGUGGGGAGCGAACAGG
rnacentral:rRNA from 1 species